AGUGAACGCUGGCGGUAGGCCUAACACAUGCAAGUCGAACGGCAGCACAGUAAGAGCUUGCUCUUACGGGUGGCGAGUGGCGGACGGGUGAGGAAUAUAUCGGAAUCUACUUUUUCGUGGAGGUUAACGUAGGGAAACUUACGCCAAUAUCGCAUAUGACCUACCAGGGAAGGCAGGGGAACUUCGGACCUUGCGCGGUUGAAUGAGCCGAUGUCGGAUUAGCUAGUUGGCGGGGUAAAGGCCCACCAAGGCGCCGAUCCGUAGCUGGUCUGAGAGGAUGAUCAGCCACACUGGAGCGUAGACACGGUCCAGACUCCUGCGGGAGGCAGCAGUGGGGAAUAUUGGACAAUGGGCGCAAGCCUGAUCCAGCCAUACCGCGUGGGUGAAGAAGGCCUUCGGGUUGUAAAGCCCUUUUGUUGGGAAAGAAAAGCAGCAGGUUAAUACCCCGCUGUUCUGACGGUACCCAAAGAAUAAGCACCGGCUAACUUCGUG
rnacentral:rRNA from 1 species